rnacentral:rRNA from 1 species
CGGUGAGGUGAUAUGAACCGUUAUAACCGGCGAUUUCCGAAUGGGGAAACCCAGUGUGUUUCGACACACUAUCAUUAACUGAAUCCAUAGGUUAAUGAGGCGAACCGGGGGAACUGAAACAUCUAAGUACCCCGAGGAAAAGAAAUCAACCGAGAUUCCCCCAGUAGCGGCGAGCGAACGGGGAGCAGCCCAGAGCCUGAAUCAGUGUGUGUGUUAGUGGAAGCGUCUGGAAAGGCGCGCGAUACAGGGUGACAGCCCCGUACACAAAAAUGCACAUGCUGUGAGCUCGAUGAGUAGGGCGGGACACGUGGUAUCCUGUCUGAAUAUGGGGGGACCAUCCUCCAAGGCUAAAUACUCCUGACUGACCGAUAGUGAACCAGUACCGUGAGGGAAAGGCGAAAAGAACCCCGGCGAGGGGAGUGAAAAAGAACCUGAAACCGUGUACGUACAAGCAGUGGGAGCCU